ACGCACGCUGGCGGCGUGCUUAACACCUGCAAGUCGCACGGAAAGGCCCUGCUUGCAGGGUACUCGAGUGGCGAACGGGUGAGUAACACGUGGGUGAUCUGCCCUGCACUUCGGGAUAAGCCUGGGAAACUGGGUCUAAUACCGGAUAGGAGCCAUUUUUAGUGUGAUGGUUGGAAAGUUUUUUCGGUGUAGGAUGAGCUCGCGGCCUAUCAGCUUGUUGGUGGGGUAAUGGCCUACCAAGGCGGCGACGGGUAGCCGGCCUGAGAGGGUGGACGGCCACAUUGGGACUGAGAUACGGCCCAGACUCCUACGGGAGGCAGCAGUGGGGAAUAUUGCACAAUGGGCGCAAGCCUGAUGCAGCGACGCCGCGUGGGGGAUGACGGCCUUCGGGUUGUAAACUCCUUUCGCUAGGGACGAAGCUUUUUGUGACGGUACCUAGAUAAGAAGCACCGGCUAACUACGUG
rnacentral:rRNA from 1 species